UGGAACUAGGGAGAGCAAGACCACAAGGGUACGCAUGCGCGGGAACCGGUUGCGUCUUUUUAUCUUUUACCGCAACAGCUGGUAGUAUUUUAUAUGUUUUUUUUUUCUUUAAAUCUUUCUACAACUCCUAGUCGUAGUAGCACCAUUGUUGCCAGUAGCCCAGCCUUCUCAGUGAGGAAACUGGAGAAGCAGAGUUGAGCACCUUGCUCAGGUCUUUCUUCACUGGCAGGGCCGCAGUUUCCAGUCUUCAUGGUGGGACUUCAGGGUCUGUACUGGUACCUGCUGUUUGUUUAAUGCACAGGCAGGUAGCAGCUUUUAGACCAUGAUGGAGGUGGCCUGUCAGAUGGUGACAAGCGUGUGGUUCCUGGGGAGGUCUUAAAAGUGAAACCAAAAGGAAUUCCAAUGUGACAACAGAACGGAGGAUGACAAUAGAGUAGGCAGACAAAGCACAGGCUGCUGGAGGGACGUGGAAGUGUGGACCACAUUAGGAACUCAGGCGGAGUGCACUAAGAGUUCUCUUAGCUACCAAAGUACAGACACUGAGCAAGCCAUGGGAUGUGCAAGCACAGAAUUAAAGGAAGAAGUUCAGGCUAAAGAUAGAAACUGGGGACCAAGAGAAUCCAAAUAUAGAUGAGGCUUCAACCAUGAGACUGGAUGAUGUCAGCCAGAGAGUAAGCCUUGACAGGAAAGGUCAAGGGCUGAGACAUGGAAAAUCGCUGGCUAUCGGAGACCAGGGAAGCAAGAGGAGCCAAAAGGAAUCGGUCAAAGAGAUACAAGAGUUCAGAGUCCCAGGAGCCAAGAGAAGCAAGUAUUUCAGACAGGAGGGAUUCAUCAGCCCCCAGAGUCAGUGACUUGUCCAAGACAAGAGCUGGGACUUCAGUGUGGGGCUUGACAGUGCAGAAGUCACCACAAGCCUAACUGUAAGAGCUUCAAGAGCGUUGGGGUGUGCGCUUGACUGGAGUAGAUCCGAGGAAGAAUAGGAGGAAGAAAAGACAAGUCUCCCAGAGGUUUGCCCAAGAUGAUCCACCUCUGCCUGGCAGCCUGUGAUAGGUGUUCAAUACUCCUACUCCCAGGUACCGAAGGGACAUAAGAAUUCAAGGAACAACAGGAUGGAUUGACUGAAGAGACAAACUGUCUUUCACCAUGAAAAGUUUAAAGCCUGUUUGGACUAAAUCCAUUAGGAAAUCCCAGCUGUACCCAGAAGAAAGGAGAAAUGGUUCAUAGCUCUAAGCAUCUGCUAAGAUUUGAAUAAAGUUUAUUACUGCCAAUGCCCCUGUGGAGGCUUAAUUCUUCAGUUGGUGUGGGAGGAAGGACGUAGAGGAGGCGUGUGGACCACUAAGUGGCAGCCUUCAGGAAUGGCAUGAUGCCUCUCUCUCUUGAGUGACAGUUUACUCUCAGAGCAUAUCGGUUAGUCAGGGUGAGGCCAGUCCUUCCCAAGCAGGCUACUCCAAAUUCCCCUUUUCUUCAGGCAUCCUCUUCUCCUUCUGUUUCUCUGCCACACACCACACAGCAUAAGGCACUUGCAAGGUGCGGCCAGCCAUGUAAUCUUGGACACCCAGUCUCCAGAAUCAGCCUCUUUAUAAAUUAUCCAAACUCAACCCAUUCUGUUACAGCAAACAGGAACCAGUCUGAACCAGGGUCUUACUGAUUGUCUGCUGGGGUCCUAUUGUUUUAUUUUUCAUUUUAUUUUAUUUUAUUUUUAAGAGAAAGAGAGGAAGGCAUUUGGAGCAGAGGCUGCUGGCCUUGCAACACACUGUUGAUAAGAUUUUUUUUUCCCCAAAAAAUUCUGCUGCAGCAGCUGAGGAGAACAGCCAACGGCAUGAUGGAUGAAGUCUGGCAGUCUGCCAUGGAGAGACAGGGAAGAACUGUUGUGGUGGUGAACUUAAGGAAGUCACAAAGGAGGGGGCCAGAGAAUUCUGCUAGAUUCUAAGCAGGGAAAAAAGUCUCCUUGACUCAGACAAUACAAAUCGUAGAAAGGCAAAUCAGAGACCAACACAACGCUGUGUGCAACAGAAAGUGUCAGGUGUGGUUCAGGUGUCAAGACACACAAGAAAAUGAGCUUGGGCAAUAAGUAUCAUUUGUAGACUUUUCAUAAAAUUUCUAGGAAUGCUGCCAGCUAAGGGGAUGGGUUUUUUUUUUUUAAAGCAGAAUUUGCUUAGAGAAACAAAAUAAAUAAAUAUUAACAAGAAUGCCAUUGAGUAAUACGGAAAAUGCCAGAUUGACAAUUCAGAGAUUUGUAUGAUAUUUUUUAAACAAAUAAUUUGGUUUGGCUAGAAUUUAAUUCCCUUACUGGUACAAACACAGACACAGGGGGGUCUGUUACGCAAUGUCACAUUUGUGAGAGCGGUCUUCUAACUUCCCAGUACUGGCCAAUCUUUAGGAUUCCCGUUCAGCUCCUACUACGUGGCCUGUCUUAGUUAGGGUUUUAUUACUGUGUAAAGAGACACCAUGGCCACAGCAACUCUUAUAAAGGCAAACAUUUAACUGGGGCUGGCUUACGGUUCAGAGGUUUAGUGCAUCAUCAUCAUGGAGGGAAGCAUGGAGACUCACAGGCAGACAUGGGGCCGGAGAGACAGCAGAGAGUUCUACAUCCUGAUCGGCAGGCAGCAAGAAGAGAGAGUGACACCAGGCCUGGCUUGGCCUUCUGAGACCCCCAAAGACCACUCCCUAAUGAUGCACUUCCUCCAACAAGGUCAGAACUGCCAAUAGUGCCGCUUUCUAUGAUCCUAUGAGGGGUAUUUUCACUCGAACGCUUCCAACCAUAAGUGGCAAACCAGAAGGGGAGGUUGAAUUACGUUAUCCUUUCAAAUAUUGACAUUCUUUGCUUAUGUAAAUCAUCACUUUGUCUUAAAGAUGAACGUAAGUACCUGUUAAUGCACGAGGAGUUAAAGUGUGAACACGGAACCCCGUACCCAGCACAUGGAGAUAACAAAACUAAGGAGGGAGGCCAAGCCACCUUGAGAUCCCACCCAUGCAGAACUGUCAGCCAUAAGACGGCAACGUGGACCUUAACAGCAGUGGAAUAAAGAUUUAGAAAGAAAUUCCACUUGCAGGCCCAGCCCUCUCAGAACUCUUUAGUAGGGCGUAGGUCAUCGCCUCUCUGCUUUCUUGGCACGCUGCUGCCUCCAACUUUAUAAAAUGCAAAUUUCUUUGCCUCCCCCAUGAAGCCUUCUCCUGUUGCUCUGAGUCUUGUGUGUGUCAUAGACUUAUCUGCGUGUCACAUCCGCUGGUUAUUUUGAUGUCUACCCUGCCCAGUAGAUUGCUAGAUCCGUAAGAGUUGGAACAGCUUUUUCCUCAGCCUUGCGGUCUAGCAAACGCAAGGUCUGGCGCACAAACUCUGCUCAGUGCAGCUACUUUGUUACUAAUUAAGUGAGGUUGAGAGCACCGGGUUCUCAGUGCUUUCUCUAGCUGCCUUUUAAAUAGUCUAAAAGCUUCCAGUGUCAAAUGACAUCCGACACGAGCCUUCUAAAACUUCUCUUAAAAGAUCUACAAAUCUGAAGGAGGUAAAUAAAAAAAAAAAAAAACCUUAAAAACUUAGAUACUUUAAUUAGCCGCCUGGCUAAUGGAACUGUGCUAAAGAAUGCAACUGACAAAAGCCUUGAGUCAGUCUCCUAACUGGAAGCUCAUCCGAAAAGGUCCUCACAUUUCUCUGAACCUGUACGGAAGCCUGGAAGAAGGAUCCGGGCUCUCUCACACCCCAGAAACUGGCCGGUUGCCCUUGUUUAAAGCACUGGUUUUUGGGUUGCCAGAAUAUUGCCUUCUCCAAUUUGUGAAUAUCCAACUUAUAAAUUUUGAGUAUAAGAAACCAAAGCAAACAGAGUGAAAACUAUAAUCUAAGACAUAAGUGGAAAAAAAUCGCUAAUUAUACAAUUAUGUCUCAAGUAUUUGCAUUUAAAAAGCCCACAAGGUUUCCAAGAAAACAUACACACACACAAAAGUCUAAACACCGAAGCGUAUUCUUGAAAGGAAUUUUAAUAUGAAUAUAAAUAGAAACUCUAUAAGCAUCUAGACAGCUUUAAAAACAAUUGCACAUGAAGCUGGAGCAAUGACUCAGUGGUUAAGAGUGCUAAGGACCAAGAGUUCAGUUCCAAGCACUCAAAUCCAGCAAGUCACAACUACUGGAGACACCAGCUCCAGGGGAGACAAGCCCCUCUUCUGACAUCCAAGGUCAUCAACACACACACACACACACACACACACACACACACAAAUAAUAUAAUUUUAAUUGAAAAUCAAAAUAUUUACCUUGGCUUAUAUAUUGGAGAGAAAUUAAACUAGAACACCAUUAUAGUAUUGUCUAUGAGGAGUAACAAGAUGACUCCUAUCCAAACACCAUUUACAAAAGAGGACAUAUAUCAUAGUACAAGAAUAAUUCAUAUCUUGACUGCCUCAGGAUUUGCCUUAUGGAUAGAUAACCUUAAAUUCAUUAUUCUCCAAGGCUGUCCCUGAAAUUGAUGUCAGAAGGGAGUCCCUCCAUUACUCCUUGGCGUCCCUCUUACCUAGAGUCUUGUGGCCUUCCAAAUCCAGAAAUUCCAAGUCCCCUUGGGUUGGCAUGUCUCUGGUCAUCUGGUCUGAGCAUACUUCUGUAAGUAAACACCACAGAUCUUGGCCUGUGGUUGACUAUUUGUUGAAUUCUUUUUGCCUCUUUGUCCCUUAGCAACAGGUCUCAACUGAACAACCCCUGAAUGACUCCAGCUGAGGUGCUGAGGCUGAAGCAGUGAAAGGCUGUGCCUGGAUGAAAUCGGUUGGUUCGGUAGGGUAGUUUGGAGACAGGCUUAAAGCGUCGGGUUCCAGUCACAUCUGCUAACUAUCUCUCCUGCCUCCUAGCCUCUGCCACACUCAGCCUAGGUGGCCAUGGCAUUUGCAGGUCCCUGGGCUGCCUGAUUGUCUAAUGCACAACAGCCAUAGAUCACUCCCACAAGUGAAUAGGAACAAGGUAUCUCUUAAUGAAGUCACAAACUACUUCCUUCCUGCUUUCAGAGGGACCAAUUUAUACCGAAGCUUUCUCCUUCCUUGAAAGACACGCAAGAGGCAGACAACAUCUUGAAAUUUUAAUGACUCCUCUAAAGCUCUAAUCUCAGCAGGAAUCUGAUCUAAGUAUAGAGAAACAAGGGGUGACCAUUAAAAUCACAUGAUUCAAAAAGCCGGGCAAGGAUUGUGGAGUCUUGGGUCUCUAGCAGGGAAGAGCUCACAUGCCACACUUACACUCCUCGUUGGCGUGUCAGUUUCAAGCAAUGGCCUCUUUCUGGUACCAAAUAAAUAUGGUUUCCCAGGUGUAGAAGACAAACCCCAACUAUCUAGAGGGGAAUUUUAUUGGGUUUUGUGACAGAAAAAGCCAAGAGUAAGACUUCAGGCAUAGCUGGAUCAAGGACCUCAAAUCAUUAACCGUGGUUUAUUCUUUGCCCAUGCUCUCUCUUUAAAGGUAGAUGCCUUGGUUACUCUUCAAUUGCAAUGAAAAGACAUCGUGACCAAGGCAGCUUAUAGAAGAAAGAGUUUAUUGGGAGCUUACACUUUCAGAGGGUACAUCCAUGGCCGUUAUAGCAGAGAACAUGGCAACAGACAGCUCAGCAUGGGAGCAGCAGAUAGGAGCUCACCCAUCAUCUACAAACCCAAAGCAGAAAGAGAUCUAACUGGAAACCAUGCGGAAUUUUGAAAUCUCAAAGCCACCCUAGUAGUGACACGCCUGCCAUACCUCCUAGUCCUUCCCAAACAGUUCCACUAAGGAUCAAGCUCUCAGAUAUAUGAGCCAUUGGGGACCAUUCUCAUUCAAAUCACCACUCUAGAUAUCUGACUACAGAUUCUGUUUCUCUACAUUUUUUUCUGUUCUAUGUUGCUUAAUUUUAUUUAUUCUGGCUUCACUCCAUUAAAAACAGACUCUGUUUAAACGACAGGAAAUACAGUAACUGGUAGGCCAACCCUACAUCCGCAUGACUCACUUCCCAUGCAUAGAUUUGAUUGGCCCUACUUGUAUGCCCACACUUUUGAUAAGUCAUUUCAGAUAAUCAUGAUUAACUAGCCACGGAAGCGAUAACCACAGCAAAUGAAGACAAAAACUCAUGAAACAACAUAAUUCUUUCUCAAGUUUUAAGAAUUUCUAUAUUUUAAAACCUAAUACCAGGUUGAGGGUGCAACCCAUGCAUAUCUAGCAUUCAUAAUUCCUUUAGUUCAAACCCUAGUACCACAUAAACGGCAAGCUGUGGCCCAUACCGGUAAUCCUACUACUGGAGUAGUAGACACAAGUUCAAGAUCAUUCUAGUCUACACAGUAAGUUCCAGAUUAGCUGGGGUUACAUGAUACCCCAUCCCAUGGAAGAAAAUUAGUGAAAAGGUGGGAAGCAACUGAAUAACACCUGCAGGUGUCCUCUGGCCUCCAUAUUCAAAUGCACAUACAUGCAAAUGCACACACACACACACACACACACACACACAUACACAAUGUAUUUCUAAGACAAAGCAAGACCAUACAUUUGUGAUUUUGUAAAUAUACAUUUAUGUUUGUGUAUAUAUUUAUACACACAUCAUUGCACAACUUUCCUCCUUCAUUAUCUCCUAUGGUCUACAUACGUGUGCCCUCCACCCUAUCCCAGAGCACACCUCCCUAAUAGGAUAAUAGAAUGUGAGGCCUUUGGGGGGUGAUUGGGUCAUGAGAAUUAUGAGUGCCCUUAGAAAAGAGGCCCCAGAAUACUAUCUAGCCUUCUUAAUGCAAACAAAUUUCUGUUACUUAUAAAGUAUCCAGUUUCAGACAUUUCUGCUAUAGCAACCUGAGCGUAGCCCAGGCAGACUAAGACAUAAUCUCAUUGACUAUAAGAUUUUUAGCUCCUCCAUGCAGCUGACAGGGACUCGGAUGACAAAUGCCUCUUUCUUCAUCAGACUCACUUCUCACAGUCAGCCGUCAUUUUUUUUCUUUUUCAACUUACUCAACACGUCAUUAUUUUCUCUACAGCACAUUCGUUCUACUGUUUCUUCUCUGGAACGCUUUUCUCUCCAUCUCUGCCCAGGCUAACACCGUCCCAUGCAUUAAAUGCUGGCUGUGCAUUCAUUCAUGAGUUCCAUUCAUAUAGAAUUUUACUAGCCUUCUCUUUUAGGCCAGGUCACUUGAACUCAACACGGGAACCAGACAGACCAGGUCCCAGGUUCCCCCAGGCCCGUUCAGUACCCAGAUGGCACAUUCAGACUGACAAUUUAAAGGGGGUGUAACAAAGGGGUAGUUUAAAAAGGCCUGGGCUGUUGGGAGUCCCUCAGGGUGGAAUAGAAGAAUAAAAUGAUAGUGGCAUCUGUGUCUAGGUCACCUGAAGGGACACUUGACUUUGAAUUAUGGCCAAGACAUAUGGAUAUCCCCUUGGGUCCCCAAGAAAGGAGCCAGAAUAACAGAGCCCCAAACUCACCCCCAUACUUUAUAGCCAUUGGUGCUUUGUAUUGAUAAAUCCAACCUCAAGCCAGAGGCAGGGACUUCUGGUGUCCUUGUGACUGAUGAGGCAGAGAGAGGGAUUUGAGACCUUGUGCAAGGUUGCAGAGAUGAGCAGAAGCGCUGGUUCAGUUGCCCAGCAAAAGCUCUUUCUUGGUAUGUUAGAAUGCUUUUCAAGACAGACAUUUUUCAAGAGCAAUAUUAUGGAUGGGCAAAGAAGAAAAGAGUUUAGGCAAAAGGGACAUGGAAUGAUGAGGCUUCAGGACACAGGAAUAAAGGAGGAGUACUUCGUUUGCUGUAUGGUCCUAGAGCAGUGGUUCUGAACCUCCCUAAUGCUGUGACCCCUUAAUACACCUCCUCAUGUUGUAGUGACCCCCAGCCAUAGCAUUAUUUUCAUUGCUACUUCGUAACUAUAACUUUGCUAUUACUGUGAACCAUAAUGUAGAUCUCUGGGGUUGUCAAUGGUCUUAGGCAACCUCCCCGAAAGGGUCAUUUGAUCACAACCCACAGGUUGAGAACUGCCCUAGACUCCUAAGUUGAAGUCUGGAGAAGAGGCUGCUGUGUAAUGAACAGCAUUGGCCUGAGGGGAAAUGGACAGGGUGGCUCUAAGGUAAGCCCGGUGGGUCCAAGGACACCCAUCCAUUACUUCUGCGACUAGAGACCAAAGUACAAGACAGAAAGUGCUGGAAAGAUGACAAGAGCCAUGGGAGGAACACAGCAGGGGAGCUGAGAUGUGCAUGUUCAAAGAUUGCUGUGGAGAAUGAGUAGAGGAAAAACAUGGAGUAAGGAAGGAAAGAGAGGAGUCUGAGACACUACUGCAGCCAUGCGAGGAAGAUGAGGCUGAUGGCUCAAACCAGGCUGGCACUAGAGGAUGAGAAAACGGACAGAGUCUGGGUUUACACCCAGAUAGUAUUAGAGGGAAGAAUUACUAUGUGUCCUAUAGAAUUAGGGCAGUGUCCUAAUUAGACUAAGAAUUAAUUAGUUAAUCUUAGUCCUAAUUAAUAAGAAUUAAUCAGUGUCCUGAAUAAGAAAAAGGUAAAGAGAAGUUGCUAAAGGAAAUACUGACCAACGACGAUGGAAUUUCAGGAAUAAGAACUCAGCAGGUUUUGGUCACGUUUCUCCUGAGUUCUCCAACUGUUAUCCAAGUGGCAAUGUCAAAACGUGUAGACCUACAGAACAGCGUUCGGAGGCAGCCUCAGAGCAAAGACAGAAACCUGACGUAUACUUAAGAGUAUUAAUUUGUUUUAAGAGUUCACUUCAUUAUUGUGGUUGCUGAAUGUCUCUGGUGUUCGGGUCUCAGAACAAGACAAGGGCAUCCCAUUCUGCGCAUGUAAAGCAGUUGGUAGACAGGGUCAGUAGGCAGGUCGAAGUCUUCUAGGGAUCAUGUAUAUAAAGAGCAGUCUGAGGAAGCUGACUGUGGCAGACUAACGUGAGAGGAGAGCUUUCAGAGCAAGCGACAGAAACCACAGCACACACAGCUUCUCCAGAAAACAGAGAGACUGCUCUGUUCAGUGCUACUAAGGGGCUACUAAGUGCUACCAGGACAAAGAGACAGCCAUUCUGUGCGGCAACGUGGUUUCUUGGUUGCCAUGCUAACAAAGGCAAAAGGCAACUUGUUUUUGUGUUUGCUGGAGUGGCAAAUAAUGGGGAGGAAGGAGGUGGCAAGGCCAGCUCUGGAUGUGGGGAUUUCCUGGUACGGUGCACAGACAACAAAGACUUCACAUUCAGGGACCCCAAUCCUUGGCCUGGAGGGCUUUUAGCAGGCGCAAUCAAGGAGGCAAAGUGGCCUUGGGAACCUUGGCUCCAGCCUCACACUUCCAGCUCUGCAUUUGUUAUUUUAGGGAUAAGCUAGUCUCCCCUAGCACAAUAAGAAGGCAGCAGCCCAACUCUUGUGGUUAACCACUUAAGCAAUCGGCCUUGGUGGGUUUCAACAGAACUCUGCAGGAGACCAAAUCCUUUCCUGGAAAAUCAGCCUGCAUGGGCUCUGUACUGGGAAAACCUACCCUUAUAUCAUCAGAGAUCUUGAUAGGAAAACAAAAACCUCAGCGAAGUGUCAAAAUCAACCAAAGGGACAUUAAAAGACGGACAUCACAGCAAUAAAGAUGGUUUUCCAUGCAGCUUGGCGCAGAGGAGAAAUGAAGCAGUGACUAGAGGCAGUGAGAAGCCAGGAAAGAAGCCGACUCUCAAGCAGGUGAGGGUCUGGUGACCAGGUGGGCAGCUUGAAGAUCUGUGCAUCAAUGCAGGGCCAGGAGCAGGAAUCAGAAACUCGUGGGGUAAAUGACUUACUCUGGAGCUGAAACAGGGAAUGUACGAAACAAACCGGAGAACAUCUUAUGCCUGAGAGGAAGAAAGCACACCGUGGACGAGGAAGAUACAGCAAAAGGACAGAAGCUUCAGCUUAAAAGACAUCGAAAAUAAUGAGAGUAAUGGGUUACAGUCUUUGACUAAACUCGGACUCCGUAUGUCUAUCUAUGUUAAUAUAAAUAAGUGAACGGAUUAUUGGAGGAGAAGACUAGCUCUCAUUUAUAGUACAAGGCCAACCAAUAAAAACAGAAGACGUGAUGGGACUGACACUCUUCAUGUAGCAAACAGUCUAAAGGGGGUUCAUUCUGUCAGUGAGGACUAAGGUCAGUACUUGGAAGUCUGAUAAGAAACUGUAGGUUUUUGCCUCAGACUGAGUCCCCACAAAAUUUUAAACAAAUGCAAUCGAGAAAAAUGUUCCGUUUAAGGCAGAGAGGCCCUGAAAGCAUCAGCAUGUGCCUCCGGAUGUGAGGCUCUAUGUAGAGAGCAUUUCCGUAGACUUACAGCCAAGAAUGCACAACCUCGGUCCGAUCAUAAGAAACUAAGCCCAAAUCAGAGGUCACCACGCAGAAUACACAGCUAACUGUCAAGCACAGGGAGAACAAGGAUGGACAGAGGGGCUGCAGCUGUGUGAAGAAACCUGAGGAGACACGAGAACCAAGGCACUGCCUGUUCUUGGACUGAGGCCUGGAGCGCAGAGGAGAAAGGAAUCUGGAGGAUUCUUGGUGAAAAUCAAAUACAGCUAGUGAACUGGCCAGGGCUGUUACGCCACACCGGAUAAUCAGGUCUGGAGAGCCGCAUGUUGGUGCUGAAGGAAAGAGUACUUGUCUGGAGAAAAUACAUCCUGGAAUGUGGCAGGGGACGGUUCCAUCAUGGCUCCAGCUCCCACUCAAGUGGAUGAGAAGCAAAGACCAUUCAUAGCCCAACUAGGGGGACAGCGGAUGGCAAUAAAUACACAAAACAUUA